rnacentral:misc_RNA from 1 species
GCCCUCUUGAAAGCCUGGGUCCAUCACACAAGCUAUAAACACAGAUGAUGACUGCUGAUCUUAUGAUGGAUAUGAGGGGAAUAUCAAUGAGAGAGUAUCUAAAAUCAUAGUUAUUGAAAUGGGAAGAGAGGGUUUUAAAUGAUAAAGAAGAAGGGGAAAGAGAAGCAGAGAGAAGAGAAAAGGGAAGAAGGGUGUCAGCAAUAACAAGAAGAACAGGAACAGAGAAAAAAAGGAAAGAGAUCAACAUAGUAAUCAAGAAGAAGAGAGUCUUUAUAACUCUCAAUACUCUUAUUGAUUUCUCUUCCAUAGAAAAACCCAUCUUGAUUCUUGGGG